GACGAACGCUGGCGGCGUGCUUAACACAUGCAAGUCGAACGCUGAAGACCUGGCUUUUGUUGGGUUGGAUGAGUGGCGAACGGGUGAGUAACACGCGAGUAACCUGCCCUCUUCUUUGGGAUAACGCCCGGAAACGGGUGCUAAUACUGGAUAUUCACUGAUCUUCGCAUGGGGGUUGGUGGAAAGGUUUGUUCUGGUGGGGGAUGGGCUCGCGGCCUAUCAGCUUGUUGGUGGGGUGAUGGCCUACCAAGGCUUUGACGGGUAGCCGGCCUGAGAGGGUGACCGGUCACAUUGGGACUGAGAUACGGCCCAGACUCCUACGGGAGGCAGCAGUGGGGAAUAUUGCACAAUGGGCGAAAGCCUGAUGCAGCGACGCCGCGUGAGGGAUGGAGGCCUUCGGGUUGUAAACCUCUUUCGCUCAUGGUCAAGCCGCAACUGUGGGUUGUGGUGAGGGUAGUGGGUAAAGAAGCGCCGGCUAACUACGUG
rnacentral:rRNA from 1 species